GCCUUGUGACCGAAACGAAGGAUUAGAUGGUGGAGGUGCUCAAGGGCCGGGCUCGGGAGCCUACGGGGCCGCGCAGGGCACCUCGCACCUACCCAGCAGGGCCAGUGCAGCUGCAGGUGCGCCGUGUGGGCCCUCGCGUGGACGUAGGAGUCGCCUCCUCCUCUUUGGCUCAGCUCGAAGGGGGAGACUCGAAGGAUCGCGGCGCCGAGUCACGCAUUCGGUUCGUCUGUAUCCUUGAGGCGACGGACCUCAAGGAAGCGGGCCAGGAAGGACGGCCCGAGAUCAUCGCGCGGAACGUACGAAGCGCGAAGAGCGAAACGCUCUCGUCGGACAAGGUUGUUCCGACGAGACAGGACGAGGCGACGAAAGGGCGCGUUAGUCCGGGAGGAGGCGGGCCGCUCGAAGCGGCCAGAUUCGUAGACAAGUCGGAGCCCGGAUCGUCGGGCUCCUAUAUAAAGAGCGAGGCUGGCGAGCGCAAUGUGGCAGAGCGGCGGCAUGGGCACCCAUGCGGCCAACAACCCGUGGAUGAAGCUCAUGGGCAUCGUCCACAAAGAGCGGAGGCAUCACGACUCGGGGUCCACCGCCGCCGCCGCCGCUUCUGGGGUGCAGGGUUCGGCGACCACCGGCAGCAACGAUCGGACGCUCAAUCAAUCGCUGCCGAAGCUCAGCAGCCAGGACGAGGAUGGGACGAACCCCCACACCCAAUACACAGGCGUCACACACUUCGAGCCCAUACCGCACGAUCAUGACUUUUGCGAGAGGGUCGUCAUCAACGUGAGCGGGCUACGGUUUGAGACACAGCUGCGUACGCUGAACCAAUUUCCGGACACGCUGCUCGGCGAUCCGACACGGCGGCUCCGAUACUUCGAUCCGCUGCGCAACGAAUACUUCUUCGAUCGCAACCGACCCUCCUUCGAUGCCAUACUCUAUUACUAUCAGAGCGGUGGCCGCCUACGCCGCCCGGUCAACGUCCCGCUCGAUGUCUUCUCCGAGGAGAUCAAGUUCUACGAGCUGGGCGAGAUGGCCACCAACAAGUUCAGGGAGGACGAGGGCUUCAUCAAGGAGGAGGAGAAGCCGCUGCCGUCGCACGAGUUUCAGAGGAAAAUCUGGCUGUUGUUCGAGUACCCGGAGAGCUCGCAAGGCGCCCGGGUGGUCGCCAUAAUCUCCGUGUUCGUGAUCCUCCUGUCGAUCGUGAUCUUCUGCCUGGAGACGCUGCCCGAGUUCAAGCACUACAAGGUCUUCAACACAACGACGAACGGCACGAAGAUCGAGGAGGACGAAGUGCCGGACAUCACGGACCCGUUCUUCCUAAUAGAGACUAUUUGUAUCAUCUGGUUCACGUUCGAGUUAUCAGUGCGCUUCCUCGCCUGCCCAAACAAAUUCAACUUCUUCCGUGACGUAAUGAACAUCAUUGAUAUCAUCGCGAUCAUUCCGUACUUCAUCACCCUCGCCACGGUGGUGGCCGAGGAGGAGGACACGCUGAACCUACCGAAGGCGCCGGUAAGCCCGCAGGACAAGAGCACGAACCAGGCGAUGUCCCUGGCGAUACUCAGGGUAAUCAGGCUGGUCAGGGUGUUCCGGAUAUUCAAGUUGUCCAGGCACAGUAAAGGCCUCCAGAUCCUCGGGCGGACUCUCAAGGCCUCCAUGAGGGAACUCGGGCUGCUCAUCUUUUUCCUCUUCAUCGGUGUGGUGCUAUUCUCGUCGGCGGUUUACUUCGCGGAGGCCGGCUCCGAGAAUUCGUUCUUCAAGUCCAUUCCGGACGCGUUCUGGUGGGCCGUUGUCACGAUGACGACCGUGGGCUAUGGUGACAUGACGUAUGAUGCCCGUGGGAGUCUGGGGGAAGAUCGUGGGCUCGUUGUGCGCGAUCGCCGGUGUCCUAACGAUCGCCCUGCCUGUCCCCGUAAUCGUCUCCAAUUUCAACUACUUCUAUCAUCGUGAGACUGACCAGGAGGAGAUGCAGUCGCAGAACUUCAAUCACGUGACCAGCUGUCCAUAUCUUCCUGGCACUUUAGGUCUGAAGAAGAUCUCGAUGUCCGAGUCCUCGUCGGAUAUAAUGGAGCUGGAGGAGGGUACUCUGUUCACUCAUCCGGAGAUUACUAAGAAG
rnacentral:misc_RNA from 1 species